GGGUUGUGAGGUUAAGCGACUAAGCGUACACGGUGGAUGCCCUGGCAGUCAGAGGCGAUGAAGGACGUGCUAAUCUGCGAUAAGCGUCGGUAAGGUGAUAUGAACCGUUAUAACCGGCGAUUUCCGAAUGGGGAAACCCAGUGUGUUUCGACACACUAUCAUUAACUGAAUCCAUAGGUUAAUGAGGCGAACCGGGGGAACUGAAACAUCUAAGUACCCCGAGGAAAAGAAAUCAACCGAGAUUCCCCCAGUAGCGGCGAGCGAACGGGGAGGAGCCCAGAGCCUGAAUCAGUGUGUGUGUUAGUGGAAGCGUCUGGAAAGGCGCGCGAUACAGGGUGACAGCCCCGUACACAAAAAUGCACAUGCUGUGAGCUCGAUGAGUAGGGCGGGACACGUGGUAUCCUGUCUGAAUAUGGGGGGACCAUCCUCCAAGGCUAAAUACUCCUGACUGACCGAUAGUGAACCAGUACCGUGAGGGAAAGGCGAAAAGAACCCCGGCGAGGGGAGUGAAAAAGAACCUGAAACCGUGUACGUACAAGCAGUGGGAGCACGCUUAGGCGUGUGACUGCGUACCUUUUGUAUAAUGGGUCAGCGACUUAUAUUCUGUAGCAAGGUUAACCGAAUAGGGGAGCCGAAGGGAAACCGAGUCUUAACUGGGCGUUAAGUUGCAGGGUAUAGACCCGAAACCCGGUGAUCUAGCCAUGGGCAGGUUGAAGGUUGGGUAACACUAACUGGAGGACCGAACCGACUAAUGUUGAAAAAUUAGCGGAUGACUUGUGGCUGGGGGUGAAAGGCCAAUCAAACCGGGAGAUAGCUGGUUCUCCCCGAAAGCUAUUUAGGUAGCGCCUCGUGAAUUCAUCUCCGGGGGUAGAGCACUGUUUCGGCAAGGGGGUCAUCCCGACUUACCAACCCGAUGCAAACUGCGAAUACCGGAGAAUGUUAUCACGGGAGACACACGGCGGGUGCUAACGUCCGUCGUGAAGAGGGAAACAACCCAGACCGCCAGCUAAGGUCCCAAAGUCAUGGUUAAGUGGGAAACGAUGUGGGAAGGCCCAGACAGCCAGGAUGUUGGCUUAGAAGCAGCCAUCAUUUAAAGAAAGCGUAAUAGCUCACUGGUCGAGUCGGCCUGCGCGGAAGAUGUAACGGGGCUAAACCAUGCACCGAAGCUGCGGCAGCGACACUGUGUGUUGUUGGGUAGGGGAGCGUUCUGUAAGCCUGUGAAGGUGUGCUGUGAGGCAUGCUGGAGGUAUCAGAAGUGCGAAUGCUGACAUAAGUAACGAUAAAGCGGGUGAAAAGCCCGCUCGCCGGAAGACCAAGGGUUCCUGUCCAACGUUAAUCGGGGCAGGGUGAGUCGACCCCUAAGGCGAGGCCGAAAGGCGUAGUCGAUGGGAAACAGGUUAAUAUUCCUGUACUUGGUGUUACUGCGAAGGGGGGACGGAGAAGGCUAUGUUGGCCGGGCGACGGUUGUCCCGGUUUAAGCGUGUAGGCUGGUUUUCCAGGCAAAUCCGGAAAAUCAAGGCUGAGGCGUGAUGACGAGGCACUACGGUGCUGAAGCAACAAAUGCCCUGCUUCCAGGAAAAGCCUCUAAGCAUCAGGUAACAUCAAAUCGUACCCCAAACCGACACAGGUGGUCAGGUAGAGAAUACCAAGGCGCUUGAGAGAACUCGGGUGAAGGAACUAGGCAAAAUGGUGCCGUAACUUCGGGAGAAGGCACGCUGAUAUGUAGGUGAAGCGACUUGCUCGUGGAGCUGAAAUCAGUCGAAGAUACCAGCUGGCUGCAACUGUUUAUUAAAAACACAGCACUGUGCAAACACGAAAGUGGACGUAUACGGUGUGACGCCUGCCCGGUGCCGGAAGGUUAAUUGAUGGGGUCAGCGCAAGCGAAGCUCUUGAUCGAAGCCCCGGUAAACGGCGGCCGUAACUAUAACGGUCCUAAGGUAGCGAAAUUCCUUGUCGGGUAAGUUCCGACCUGCACGAAUGGCGUAAUGAUGGCCAGGCUGUCUCCACCCGAGACUCAGUGAAAUUGAACUCGCUGUGAAGAUGCAGUGUACCCGCGGCAAGACGGAAAGACCCCGUGAACCUUUACUAUAGCUUGACACUGAACAUUGAGCCUUGAUGUGUAGGAUAGGUGGGAGGCUUUGAAGUGUGGACGCCAGUCUGCAUGGAGCCGACCUUGAAAUACCACCCUUUAAUGUUUGAUGUUCUAACGUUGACCCGUGAUCCGGGUUGCGGACAGUGUCUGGUGGGUAGUUUGACUGGGGCGGUCUCCUCCUAAAGAGUAACGGAGGAGCACGAAGGUUGGCUAAUCCUGGUCGGACAUCAGGAGGUUAGUGCAAUGGCAUAAGCCAGCUUGACUGCGAGCGUGACGGCGCGAGCAGGUGCGAAAGCAGGUCAUAGUGAUCCGGUGGUUCUGAAUGGAAGGGCCAUCGCUCAACGGAUAAAAGGUACUCCGGGGAUAACAGGCUGAUACCGCCCAAGAGUUCAUAUCGACGGCGGUGUUUGGCACCUCGAUGUCGGCUCAUCACAUCCUGGGGCUGAAGUAGGUCCCAAGGGUAUGGCUGUUCGCCAUUUAAAGUGGUACGCGAGCUGGGUUUAGAACGUCGUGAGACAGUUCGGUCCCUAUCUGCCGUGGGCGCUGGAGAACUGAGGGGGGCUGCUCCUAGUACGAGAGGACCGGAGUGGACGCAUCACUGGUGUUCGGGUUGUCAUGCCAAUGGCACUGCCCGGUAGCUAAAUGCGGAAGAGAUAAGUGCUGAAAGCAUCUAAGCACGAAACUUGCCCCGAGAUGAGUUCUCCCUGACCCUUUAAGGGUCCUGAAGGAACGUUGAAGACGACGACGUUGAUAGGCCGGGUGUGUAAGCGCAGCGAUGCGUUGAGCUAACCGGUACUAAUGAACCGUGAGGCUUAACCUUACAACGCCGAAG
rnacentral:rRNA from 1 species